UACGUAGGGCGCAAGCGUUGUCCGGAAUUAUUGGGCGUAAAGAGCUCGUAGGCGGUUUGUCGCGUCUGCUGUGAAAACUCGAGGCUCAACCUCGGGCUUGCAGUGGGGUACGGGCAGACUAGAGUGCGGUAGGGGGUGACUGGAAUUCCUGGUGUAGCGGUGGAAUGCGCAGAUAUCAGGAGGAACACCGAUGGCGAAGGCAGGUCACUGGGCCGCAACUGACGCUGGAGGAGCGGAAAAGCAUGGGGAGCGAACAGG
rnacentral:rRNA from 1 species